rnacentral:tRNA from 1 species
GCCUUUGUGGUGUAGCGGUCAGCACGCUCGACGCAUAACCGAGAGGUCCGUGGUUCGAUUCCCGACGUAGGCG